AGAGUGCAUAGGUGAGGACUGAACAAUGGGCUUCUGCCACGCUAGUUGGAGCAACAAAGCAUAAUCUGGGUGAAAGGUAACAAAUUUGAAAAAUUUGAAUGGAGUUUUACGUCUGGAAACAGAUUCCGUGAGUGAAACCAAGCAAGGUGAAUGAUCCGAGGCUCCAGGAGCCUCAAAGAGUGCAUUUGAAUCAGGAAAGGAAGUGACCCACUUAUCAUUAGAGAUUGCCCUAUAUAUAUAAGUUUGCCAAAACGCAUAUUCUUCAAUUCUUCUUUAUCAUCAUCUGAUCUCACCGUCUUUUUUUUUUUAAUUUCGUCUUCAUCAUCCUUCUCCUCUCUGAACCUCUCUAACUAAGAAACGAAUAAGGAAUUCGACAGAAGAAAUGGCGACGGAUUACAACAGAGCCGAUGAUUUCUUAUUUUCUCAGCAA